rnacentral:rRNA from 1 species
AACGUAGGUUCCGAGCGUUAUCCGGAUUUACUGGGCGUAAAGCGCGUUCAGGCGGUUCGGCAAGUCGGGCAUGAAAUCUCUCGGCUCAACCGGGAGAGGUUGUCCGAUACUGCUGGACUUGAGGGCAGUAGAGGGUGGUGGAAUUCCGGGUGUAGUGGUGAAAUGCGUAGAUAUCCGGAGGAACACCAGUGGCGAAAGCGGCCACCUGGACUGUACCUGACGCUCAAACGCGAAAGCUAGGGGAGCGAACGGG